GACUGCAUUCGCUUGGACUUUGUGAAAGUGCAUUGUAAUACGGGCCACAGGUUUACUAUCCGAGAAUAUAGACUGCAGCCUGUCAUGGAGAUUCAUCAGUCUGCUGUGAUUCUGCUGCUGCUAUUGUGUGUGACAUCCUCCACUCAUGGUCAACCACCACGUUAUCCCCAUUUCGCCACCAGCCAUAUGAGGAAUCCUAAUAUACAAGUGGAUAAGUGCACAACUGAAAUUGUAACCCAACGCAUCGUUGAAGAACACAACGAAUGCAAACAUGUUCACACCUUUAUACAAGCAAAUGAAGUUCAAAUUAAAGCGGCUUGUGCUGUACCUAAUCAACUGCCCAAUGGAAGGUUUAGGAGCAACAUGCAAUUUAAUGUGAUCAUUUGUAAUAUACAAAGUUGGUCGAAAUUCCCAGACUGUAAAUAUUCUCAGGGGAUCAAACAAAAUCGUACUAUAGAGUUGGAGUGUGAAGAUGGCUGGCCUGUACGUUAUAUAGAAGAUAAUUGAAAUACAGGCUGAAUAGAGCCUCACAGAACUUCAUAACAUUUUGCUAAUCAUUUGUUCACUUCUCAUUUACCAUCUUUCUUUGUUCACCUUAAGUUAAAAGAAUAUGUACCCCUUUGUCUUUAUAAAACUGAAUCAGAAUAUCUUCACUGUCACUUAUCGUUUACCUUAAAUUUAAUGGUAUCUUCUGAACUUCUUCAUGCAUGUCUCUGUGUGUAAUCGUGGUUAUGUGCAAGAUUCAGCUAGUUUACUGAAAUCUUAAGCACUCUGUUACCACUUUUUGAGCAUUAAAAAACUUUUUAAUGGGAGCAGUGAAUGAGCAAAAACAGAUAAGGGAAGAUGUUUUUUCCGCCUGUCUGUAAUCCUCAAUAAAACUACUACCCGUAA